rnacentral:tRNA from 1 species
GCGGGUAUAGCAUAGUGGUAAUGCCCUAGCCUUCCAAGCUAGUUAGAGGGGUUCGAUUCCCCUUACCCGCUCCA